UCGGAUACACCACAAGGUAGAGCAGAGGACUGAAAAUCCUCGUGUCCAGGGU
rnacentral:tRNA from 1 species